rnacentral:rRNA from 1 species
CAGCCGCCACGGGAAUACGAAGGGGGCUAGCGUUGCUCGGAAUCACUGGGCGUAAAGGGUGCGUAGGCGGGUCUUUAAGUCAGGGGUGAAAUCCUGGAGCUCAACUCCAGAACUGCCUUUGAUACUGAAGAUCUUGAGUUCGGGAGAGGUGAGUGGAACUGCGAGUGUAGAGGUGAAAUUCGUAGAUAUUCGCAAGAACACCAGUGGCGGAGGCGACUCACUGGCCCGAUACUGACGCUGAGGCACGAAAGCGUGGGGAGCAAACAGGAUUAGAGACCCCGGUAGUCCCUGUCUCUUAUAC